AUGUGUAUGAUUUUAUUAAUGUGUAUAGAUUGUUUCAACGUAUAGUUCCUAUGGCGUUAUGUUGGUUCCCCUGUCUGUCCAAGUCAUUGGCACUUGGCAGCAUAUUUGCAUAAGAAGA